UAACCUGGUUGAUCCUGCCAGUAGUGUAUGCUUUUCCUAAAGAUUAAGCCAUGCAUGUCUUCGAAUAUGAGGAAGCAAUUCUCUCUGAAUCUGCGAACGGCUCCGCAAACCAGUUGUAAACCAAAGCAAGCAUGUCCAGCUGACCUCAGGGUAAAGCAAGGAUGAUAUAUGGAUAACCGUGGUAAUUCUGAGGCUAAUACAUGACAAAGAUCCCAGGUUGUUGGGGCCUCCUGGUCUUCGGACCGGGGGGUACCUCGGCAGCCGGGGACGCGCGAGCUUAGGCUUGGCAAAAUCGGGAAGGAACGCGCGUUCGGACCACCUUUCAAGGGCGUUCUGCGGGUUGGGCUUUCGGGCUCGGUCUGCGGGAUGCCUGGUGGCUCUUGAGCUGUGCUUCUGACCUAUCAACUAGAUGGCAGCAUAAGCGACAUGCAAUGGUAACAACGGGUACAGAGGAUUAGGGUUCGAUCCUGGAGAGUGGGCCUGAGAGAUUGCUCAUACUUCUAAGGAAGGCAGCAGGCGCGCAACGUUCCCCUUGGACAAUGUCCGAGGGCGUUAGGGGAAAUAUGAAUGGCUGCCCUCGUGGUGGCCAAUUCAAAUGGGUUUGUCGUAAACAGGCUCUCGAGUAACAAUUAGAGGACAAGUCUGGUGCCAGCACCCGCGGUAAUUCCAGCUCUAAUAGCAUACGUUAAAGUUGUUGCAGUUAAAACGCUCGUAGUCGGCUAUAGGCUUUCUGAGCCUCUUGCUGUGGUGUUCGGGUCUGUGCCCCUCUCGGGGGUGCGCCGGGUGCUCGGCGGGGGCAACGUUAGCUAAGCGUGCCCGUGUCCGUUCUUUUGGCCCUUCGUGGCUGAUUGAUUACAGGGCGUGCCAAUCCUUUGUCGGGUUUCUGGUCAGUACUUAGCCUCGUGCUGGGGAAAGCUGGGUUCCAUGCAUCGGGGUACGCCUGGGGCCGGGUGCCAUUGGUCGUGAUUAAACUGGGGUGCUUAAGGCAGGCCGUUCGGUCUUGCACAGCACAGCACGACAUUAAGCAUGGUUGGCCGGUUCCCAAGCGGGCCGGUUGGCUUUCUUUUUGUUAGCAAAAGGGGUGUUCGGGGGUGACCGAAUUGCCGGGCGAGUGGUGAAAUACGUUGACCCUGGCAAGUCGACCAAAGGCGAAAGCAGUCAUCAAGGGCACACCCAUUGAUCAAGAGCGAAAGUUAAGGGUUCGAAAGCGAUCAGAUACCGUCGUAGUCUUAACUAUAAAUGAUACUGGCCAGGGAUAGGGCAAUGUCCAUCUCGACUCCCCCUGAACUUUAGGGAAACCAAAGCCUUUGAGUUCUGGGGGGAGUAUGGUCGCAAGGCUGAAACUUAAAGGAAUUGACGGAAGGGCACACAAAGAGUGGAACCUGCGGCUUAAUUUGACUCAACACGGGGAAACUCACCAGGUCAAGAUACGCGAAUGAAAGACAAGCUGAGAGACUUUUCUCAAUGACGUAAGUGGUGGUGCAUGGCCGUUCUUAGUUCGUGGAGUGGUUUGUCUGGUCUAUUCCGAUAACGAGCGAGACCCCAGCGUUCUAACUAGGGGUGGUGGCUAUGCCUAUGAUAUAACGCCUGCUUGGGUGGAGCCUGCCUCACGGCGGGUGAAGCCUUUGAGUGGGCCGGUCUCGGUAAGCUGCCGCUUCCUGGGCCUCGGCCGCAAGGCUGGGGUGCAACAUUCUUCUUAGACGGAUCGGGGCCAAAAAGGUCCCUGAAAUGGGUUAAUAACAGGUCAGUCAUGCCCUUAGAUGUUCUGGGCCGCACGCGCGUUACAAUGGCAGGGAAAACAAGUGUUCGUUUGCAGAGCUCUUCCGGGCCCUAACGGGUCCGGUAAUCACUAGGCCCUGCCUCGACUGGGAUAGUCUCUUGCAAUUAUGGGUCUUAAACGAGGAAUUUUUAGUAGGCGCGGGUCAUCAGCCCGCGCCGAAUGCGUCCCUGCCCUUUGUACACACCGCCCGUCGCUGCUACCGAUUGGGCCUGGCGGUUACGCGUUCAGAGGCUGCGGAGCGCCGUCCUUAACAGGGGCUUGUGCGCCUGCGGCCGAAGUUCUAAUUACCGCCCGGCCUAUAGGAACAGAAAUCGUAACAAGGGAAUCGUAGGUGAACCUGCC
rnacentral:rRNA from 1 species